CUCGGCGGGAUCUCUGCCCCGGGUGCGCCCCAGCCCCGGACCAAGGCGCCCGCCGGAGGACCAACCAAAACUCUUAUUGUAUACCCCCUCGCGGGUUUUUUUAUAAUCUGAGCCUUCUCGGCGCCUCUCGUAGGCGUUUCGAAAAUGAAUCAAAACUUUCAACAACGGAUCUCUUGGUUCUGGCAUCGAUGAAGAACGCAGCGAAAUGCGAUAAGUAAUGUGAAUUGCAGAAUUCAGUGAAUCAUCGAAUCUUUGAACGCACAUUGCGCCCGCCAGUAUUCUGGCGGGCAUGCCUGUCCGAGCGUCAUUUCAACCCUCGAACCCCUCCGGGGGGUCGGCGUUGGGGAUCGGCCCUGCCUUGGCGGUGGCCGUCUCCGAAAUACAGUGGCGGUCUCGCCGCAGCCUCUCCUGCGCAGUAGUUUGCACACUCGCAUCGGGAGCGCGGCGCGUCCACAGCCGUUAAACACCCAACUUCUGAAAUGUUGACCUCGGAUCAGGUAGGAAUACCCGCUGAACUUAAGCAUAUCAAUAAGCGGAGGAA
rnacentral:rRNA from 1 species